CACUAAGAAGCUAUUAUAGCAUUAACCUUUUAAGUUAAAGAUUGAGGGUUCA
rnacentral:tRNA from 1 species